UGGGGAAUCUUGGACAAUGGGCGCAAGCCUGAUCCAGCAAUGCCGCGUGGGUGAAGAAGGCCUUCGGGUUGUAAAGCCCUUUUGUACGGGAGCAAAUCUUUGCGGUUAAUACCUGCUGAGGAUGAGAGUACCGUAAGAAUAAGCACCGGCUAACUACGUGCCAGCAGCCGCGGUAAUACGUAGGGUGCAAGCGUUAAUCGGAAUUACUGGGCGUAAAGCGUGCGCAGGUGGUUUUGUAAGACAGAGGUGAAAUCCCCGAGCUCAACUUGGGAACUGCCUUUGUGACUGCAAGACUAGAGUGUGGCAGAGGGGGGUGGAAUUCCACGUGUAGCAGUGAAAUGCGUAGAGAUGUGGAGGAACACCGAUGGCGAAGGCAGCCCCCUGGGCUAACACUGACACU
rnacentral:rRNA from 1 species